rnacentral:rRNA from 1 species
UGGGGAAUUUUGGACAAUGGGGGAAACCCUGAUCCAGCCAUCCCGCGUGUGCGAUGAAGGCCUUCGGGUUGUAAAGCACUUUUGGCAGGAAAGAAACGUCAUGGGUUAAUACCCCGUGAAACUGACGGUACCUGCAGAAUAAGCACCGGCUAACUACGUGCCAGCAGCCGCGGUAAUACGUAGGGUGCGAGCGUUAAUCGGAAUUACUGGGCGUAAAGCGUGCGCAGGCGGUUCGGAAAGAAAGAUGUGAAAUCCCAGAGCUCAACUUUGGAACUGCAUUUUUAACUACCGGGCUAGAGUGUGUCAGAGGGAGGUGGAAUUCCGCGUGUAGCAGUGAAAUGCGUAGAUAUGCGGAGGAACACCGAUGGCGAAGGCAGCCUCCUGGGAUAACACUGACGCUCAUGCACGAAAGCGUGGGGAGCAAACAGG